UGGGGAAUUUUGCACAAUGGGGGAAACCCUGAUGCAGCGACGCCGCGUGAUUUAGAAGGCCGUCGGGUUGUAAAAAUCUUUUUUAUGGGAUGAAAAUGACAGUACCAUAAGAAUAAGGUCCGGCUAAAUACGUGCCAGCAGCCGCGGUAAUACGUAUGGACCGAGCGUUGUCCGGAAUCAUUGGGCGUAAAGGGUACGUAGGCGGCCCAGUAAGUUAGAAGUGAAAUAAUAUAGCUCAACUAUAUAAAGCUUUUAAAACUGCUAGGCUUGAGAGAUGGAAGGGAAAGUGGAAUUCCUAGUGUAGCGGUGAAAUGCGCAGAUAUUAGGAAGAAUACCGGUGGCGAAGGCGACUUUCUGGUCAUCCUCUGUCGCUGAGGUACGAAAGCGUGGGUAGCAAACAGG
rnacentral:rRNA from 1 species